rnacentral:tRNA from 1 species
UACCCAAGCGGCUUAAGGGGGCGGUUUGCAAAACCGUUAUUCACCGGUUCGAAUCCUGAG